UACAGAGGGGGCGAGCGUUGUUCGGAAUUACUGGGCGUAAAGGGCGCGUAGGCGGCCAACUAAGUCAGACGUGAAAUCCCUCGGCUCAACCGGGGAACUGCGUCUGAUACUGGAUGGCUUGAAUUCGGGAGAGGGAUGCGGAAUUCCAGGUGUAGCGGUGAAAUGCGUAGAUAUCUGGAGGAACACCGGUGGCGAAGGCGGCAUCCUGGACCGAGAUUGACGCUGAUGCGCGAAAGCCAGGGGAGCAAGCGGG
rnacentral:rRNA from 1 species